UAAAUCAGUCUGCCUAAUCCAAUAUUUGCCUUGAGAGCAUUUGCAAAUCAAGGUAAACGGGAGCGGAGGAACCAUAUUUGGGGCGUAUCUUCACUACAGGCUUAAGUAUGAAACACAUACUUCAUACCUAAUCCCUCAGAAGAAGGACAUCUCUCAGUUCUAGCCCGUCAGCUAACUUCGUAGGCUUUGAGAGGAGACUGA
rnacentral:sRNA from 2 species